AGCAUUAGCUGCCGUUUUCUUUGCCAGUCAGGAAGAAAUGUUGUAAGUUCAACAUCAGACUUCAUUCCUUUACUCGCCAACAGCUGUCUCCAGAGGUGGAGACAAACACUAAUGUUAACUCUUGUUUCUAUCCCGUCUUUCCUUACCACUGAAGUUAGCAUGCUAACCAGCUAGCCCCACCCUGUCUCGUCACUUUUGGAUAGUGACGCGCUGUAGCUCCAGUCUGCCCUGAAGACGUAGCUGCUCAGAGAACGGAUUAUAACCUGUUGUCAUGUAAACGUAACGAUUGCUGAAGCUCUUGUCAAGCAAUGAUAAACCAUUGAAACCAAAUUUUUAAAACAGGUCUUCUGUUCUGUUUGUUAACUGAACAGUGAGUUAAGUUAGUUUUAAGAUCCUGAUUGUUUUCAUUUUGAAAGUAAGUAGCCUGGUGUUUGUUUUUUAGUAACAUGUUUAUGUGGGUGUUCGGCAGUUUUUAGUGUCCCCUGGAAACAUGCAUGCUGUCCUGAUGGAACAGUUCAGCAGGCAAGUUUCUUUCUUUCCAAAAGUUAGAUUGGAAAAUCAAUAGCACUCUUGUGUCUGAGUAGUGUGUGUGUGUGUGUGUGUGUGUGUGUGUGUGUGUGUGUGUGUGUGUGUGUGAUGUUUCUGUUCUGUUCAGAGGAGUGAAGAACAGAAACUCUGUGUCUGUAAAAAUCAUAAACCGGGGAAUUGACUCAAAUACCGGGAUCACACAGGAGAGGGUUCGAUCACACAGGAAAGCUCUGCAGCCUGAGGUCAAACACAGGACGUCAGUCAGCUUAGACAACAACACAGGUGAGGAGCAGGUGAAAGGUCACACCUGAGGAAUACUUACUAGUAAGAGGAAUGGCUGGAAAGAUUAACAAACAGGUAGGACAAUCUGACACCGGAGCAGAGUCGAGUGGCGUGGUCUAUGAAGGUGUGGCUCGUCGUAGCGGUUGUCGACCGCGGACGCCAAUUCGAAGUGAGAUGAUCUGGUCUACAAAGGAUUUCCACUUUGUAUCAUGAACUGUGUCAGCCAAUACUGUUGCUAAUUCAGAAAAAAUCAGAAGCGUUUCCAGUGGACACAAGCACGAGGGUGGCGGGUACCAUGAAGGCGUAAUCCUAACCGCUGGGUUCGAGUCCAACCUGUGGCCCUUUGUGCCAUAUCAUCAUCUCUCUCUCUCUCUCUCUCUCUCUCUCUCUCUCUCUAUCAGAAUUAAGCAACACUUCCAUUGUGUUGUAGGACUGAAUUUGCAGCCUGUGUGUUUAUUUGCAUGUGUAUUCUUACGUUGCAGUGCACUGAGCUCUCCGGGCCUCCGUAGAUUACCAAAUAAAACGGUAAAUAAAUACAGAGACUUAACUCUGGGUCCCUCUGAGACUUUCUGCUGCUUUUGGUGCCCCAUGAGCUGCAGACGUCUGUCAUGUCACCAGAGAAUGAAGUGCUUCUUCGGAGUAGUGGGCUGUAAUGAGGAUGUGAUGGAUACAGGAGAUCCGUCAAAACACUUGGAUCCAAAAGCAGAUUGAUAUUUUACAUCAGACCCUUCUGUGAGAAGAGUCUCUGAUGGGAAUAGAUGACAGCACGUCUUCAUGACGGAGGACAACAUCUGUGACGUUAACAUGCCACCAGUUCAUCUGUUUCAUACUUGAUCUCUGCAAGAAUACAGAGGAUUUUUCUCAUUAAUCUCCUCUUUCAUCAAAUAUUUAUGGUCUUUCUCUUAUACACCCAAGUCCCACAUGAGAUGGACAGAAAUAGAAUCAUAAGUAAAGCUGAUUGAAUCGGUAAUUCACUUCCUGUCUCGUGGAAAUUUGAUAAGGCCGAGCAGUAAGUGUGCAGAUGUAAUGAAAAUGGGCCUCAGCUCCUCAGGAUGUGUUCGCCAUCCUUCAAACAGAUGAUGUGUUUGUUUCCUUUGUACAGCUGAGGAGGAAAUCAUGAAGCAGACACGUCGGGUUGAUGCUGAGGUGAGAUAUUCAGUCUCUCGUCACACCGCUGCUUUCACACCCACCUGCCAACAAUGAAUGUGAUUUCAAUAUUUUUCCCCUUUUAAAGGUUUUUUCAUUUCCUACCUUCACUUUUCUUGUACCGACGCUGCAGUGACAGGAAAAUAUAACGUCUUCCCAGGGUUUAUAUCGCAAGAUGGAGAAAGAAAAAAAAACAUGACAAAACUUACAACAUAAAACUGGAAUUAAUUUUGGAUUACACUGGUAGAAACACACCUGAUUAAUUAACGAAAAAAAAAAGAAAAGUGAGCGGUGAAGAGGGCUGUCGUUUCUUUAAUAAUUCAAGUUUCAGAUACGAAUUUGAGCAACACCCAUAAUGCAAUUUUAUGUCUUUAGCCGUGUCCUAAUUCAGGGGCUGCAUCCUUCGGAGGGCACGCUGUGGACCGCGAAAGCUGAACCCAAAAUGACACGGUCUGGUUUACGAAGGAUUUCCACUGUGCAUCACGAGCUGUGCCGGCCCUUACAUCAGAAAGUGCUGCUCCUGUUGCCUAGCAACAUUGACAGUGGAUGUUUGGCUGUAAGCGGCAGGUGUUUUCUGUCUGCUGUCUGAUGCUGGAGAGAGAAUAUCAAUCAUCAAGCUGAAGACUGAAGGAGUGUGUUUGAUCCUAAACCCUUAUUUUUCUCCAUGAGUGUUACAAGGUGGAUUCACCAAACUGUCACAAUCUGCACAAACUUCAGCCCGGAGAGCACAACCUGCACAUGUGGAGCAUGACUGUUCCCCGUGCACAACCCAAGCUCCAUAAAUAAACGGUUUUUCCAGUUUGGUGAUGAAGGAGAGUCCUGACCUCAACCCCAUCCAACACCUCCGGGACGAACCUGUGAUCCAGACCUCAUCGCCAACAUCAGUCUGGGACGUCACUGAUGCUCGUGUGUUAAGAGGAAAUCCCCGCAGCAGGUUCAACGUCUGGAGGAAACACUGAAACCAGAAGGGUGGAGGCAGCAGAACAUUAAUGAACAUGGAUUUGGACUCACAUGUGGCCGGAAACUUCAUGUGUCCAGGUGUCCACAUACUUUUGGCCACAAAAUGCACUCUGGGAAAGAGCAAAGCUCCAUUGAUGACUCAUGAGUUUCUGUCCAUGAGGUCAGACGUGUUCACAGUCAUUCAUCAAGCCGGCGUCUCCUGCUGAAUAUGAAUUAAGGGAUUUUUAUUCCGGCUUCUCGCUGUGUUUUUUUUCUUCUUCUUCUUACAUUUAUGAAAAUGAAACAUGAGUGAUUAUUCAGCGUGUAUCAGCUGCCUGCUCUGUAGUGUGAGUGUAAUGUAAUCUAGUUUCAUAGACGCGCUGCCUUUUUAUCUGUCAGCCUGUGGUUCUGGAUACGAACUCGGCCUCUGAUUUAUUGCAGACAGGAGCUUCAGAGUCGAUCAAUUCCUACAUCUCCACCUCGUCGUUCAUCACGCUGAUUGAAAGGCUUGAUAAUGACAAUACACACGGAAAUCAAUCAUUCACAUUCUUCUUUUGUUUUUCUUUGUACUUGUUUGUUUCUAGCCGUGUGUUCAUCACUUUGGUCCCGACUGAAAUGUCUUGAUGUGUUGUAUUCAUGGUCCCCAGAGGAGGAAUCCUAACUUUGGUGAUCACGUUUCCUCUAUUGCUUCCAUAAGGUCGACAUUUGUGGUGUUCGGGAGCUGUAAUAACCUGAUGAUCCUGUAACCCUCUGUACUCAGGGUUGAUCUUUUCAACUGUUCUUACUCCACAUGUUUUUUAGUGUGUAAAGUUUUACAAAUCUUUAGUUAAAAUCAUUCGAAAUAUGAUCAAAGAACAAUUUAUGGUUGUAAAGAAUAUUGUUUCAUGUUCAUACAAACAAAAACAGCUGAAAAUGAAAGAAAUAAAGCUUUGAAGUUACAGUCUUUUUAAGCCUACCUGUAAAGCAAUUUCAUUCUUUAACUUUUUCAUUAGAAAUCUAACUGAAAUUGAAUUGAACUGAAUGAAUAAAUGAUGUGUAUUAGAUCAUGUUUGAAACGCCAGCAUUUCCAGCUUGUCUCUACAUGACAUGUAAAUAAAGUUAUGUUCAUGUAAAUAAAACAUGUCCCAACGGUACUUUCUGUUUAUCGUUUAUUAGCAUACUAACAUGCUAAAUUAAGAUCAGCAUGGUCCCCCUCGAGUGCUGAGGACGGUGAUGUCAGUCCAACAGGUAGGUUCAUGACGGAGUACGUGGCUGGAUUUCAACUGAAUCUUCUGAAGAUGAGCGUGGUCUCCAGAGAAUGAACACUUAAUAAUUUUAAUGCCUCUUUUAUAUUUCAUCCAGAGCAACAGUCAGGCAAAAACAUUUACAGGAGUAAACAAGAGCUGUGGGUAGAUUAUCAUGAGAUACUCUGAGCACGUUCCUGCUCCCCAGAGGAUGAACCAUUUAAAUUUUAAUGAGCCUGUGGAACACUAACUUCUAAAUUAAACUUGGUGUGUCGUAUACAGUGCUGCAUUCAAAUGCCACUCGACUCAUACUCACUGUCCUGGGACACUAGAAGGUGGAGAUUUUUUGAGGCGUUGUGAAGGAGACAAAACCAGGAAUUUAGCACAAGUUCUGUCUGUGAUAAAAGAUGAAAAUAUACAGCAACAGAAAACAAGGAAGUAGAUGGUUUGUUUGUUCCCUUAACAAAAAAAAAACAGGCUGAAUGGAGAGAUGACACUUUCUAGUAAUAGUAAUAGACAGACAGUAUAAAAUAAUUCAGCCAACUUUAAAAUAGAGAAUAUCAUGGUCCAGCAGAUUUUAACAGAUUAUUAGAAAAACCGCCACCAUCGGGGCGAGAUGAAGUCUCUCAUUUCAGAUGUUGAGUCUCUGUGGGGGUCGAAGUAAAGUUUAAUAUUCUGUUUCUCCACUUUCCACUGCAGAUCAUAAAUUAUUCUGUCAGACACUUUAAAGUGUGAUUCAACCUCACACAGUCAUUCACACGUCAACUUGUUUUUUUAUGCCAGACUUCCUUGAAAUUAUGUACAAUUUAUGUACAAUAUUCUGCGUUUAAUGGUUGACAGAGGAUGUGUCUGCUCCUGCACGCCGUUGUUUUCCUGACAACAAUCAGAGAUGGAGACAUUUCCCCACCAACUCCGCCUGAGUGAUGCUCCAUAGAUGUGGCUGUAAACAUUUUGCAUAAAACAUUAAAGAGCUGCUGUGUUUUGGUCAAACAAAUAUAUGCGGUGGUGGCAACCUGCUGUUUGUGAUUCUUCUGACUCCUUUAUUUUUUAGGUUUUGAUUUAAAUAUCAGCAUUUCAACUUUAUCAGCUGUUUAUAUGCCAAUUGUGUGUUUGAUGCUGAGUUCUGUCCACAGGUGGAAUAAAAGAACUAACAAAUUAGUAAAAUACAAACAAUAAACAAAAAUAUUUCACUUUAACGUUUUUUGACGUUUUUAUACCUUACUAUAGUAUGAUGUUUUUUUUUUUAAAAUGUUUUUAUAUCUUACGAUACUAUGACGUUUUUUGAUGUUUUUAUACCUAACUAUACUUUGGCGUUUUUAUGGCUGACUAUACCAUGAAGUUUUUUGACGUUUUUGUGCCUUACUAUAAUAAAGGUUUAUUUACGUUUCAGUGACUUACUAUACUAUGCCUUUUUUUGACGUUUUCAUGCCUUAUAUAUUAUGGCGUAUUAUUACUUUUUUAUGCCUUAUUACUAUGCCUUUUGAAGUUUUUUUUUUACUUACUAUACUUUGAUGUUUUAUAAUGUUUUUAUGCCUUAUUAUACUAUGACGUUUUUUGACAUUUUUAUUCCUUAUUAUACUAUGACGUUUUUAUGCCUUACUAUAGUAUGACGUUUUUUGACAUUUUUAUGCCUUAUCAUACUAUGAUGUUUUUUGAUGUUUUUAUGCCUCAUUAUACGAUAACAUUUUUUGAUGUUUUUAUGCCUUACUAUACUAUGACAUUUUUCAACGUUUUUAUGCCUUAUUAUACUAUGUUUUCAUGACUCAUUAUAGUAUGCCGUUUUUGAUGUUUUUAAGCGAUACUAUACUAUGACGUUUUUAUGCCUUAUUAUACUAUGAUGUUUAUUGACCUGUUUUAUGCCUUAUUAUACUAUAACGUUUUUGAUGUUUUUAUUCCUUAUUAUACUAUGACAUUUCUUGACGUUUUUAUGCCUCAUUUUAUUAUGAAAUUUUUUGACAUCUUUAUGACUCAUUAUUCUAUGACAUUUUUUUUACGUUUUUAUGCCUUAUUGUAUAAUGGCGUAUUAUUAUGUUUUCAUGCCUUAUUAUACUAUGACGUUUUUAUGCCUUAUUAUACUAUGACUUUUUUUUACGUUUGUAUGCUUUAUUAUACUAUGACGUUUUUUGAC